rnacentral:rRNA from 1 species
GCUAGAUUGAUGGCGAGUGGCGAACGGGUGAGUAAUACAUCGGAACGUGCCCUGUAGUGGGGGAUAACUAGUCGAAAGAUUAGCUAAUACCGCAUACGACCUGAGGGUGAAAGUGGGGGACCGCAAGGCCUCAUGCUAUAGGAGCGGCCGAUGUCUGAUUAGCUAGUUGGUGGGGUAAAGGCCCACCAAGGCGACGAUCAGUAGCUGGUCUGAGAGGACGAUCAGCCACACUGGGACUGAGACACGGCCCAGACUCCUACGGGAGGCAGCAGUGGGGAAUUUUGGACAAUGGGCGAAAGCCUGAUCCAGCAAUGCCGCGUGUGUGAAGAAGGCCUUCGGGUUGUAAAGCACUUUUGUCCGGAAAGAAAUGGCUCUGGUUAAUACCUGGGGCCGAUGACGGUACCGGAAGAAUAAGGACCGGCUAACUACGUGCCAGCAGCCGCGGUAAUACGUAGGGUCCAAGCGUUAAUCGGAAUUACUGGGCGUAAAGCGUGCGCAGGCGGUUGUGCAAGACCGAUGUGAAAUCCCCGAGCUUAACUUGGGAAUUGCAUUGGUGACUGCACGGCUAGAGUGUGUCAGAGGGGGGUAGAAUUCCACGUGUAGCAGUGAAAUGCGUAGAGAUGUGGAGGAAUACCGAUGGCGAAGGCAGCCCCCUGGGAUAACACUGACGCUCAUGCACGAAAGCGUGGGGAGCAAACAGGAUUAGAUACCCUGGUAGUCCACGCCCUAAACGAUGUCAACUAGUUGUUGGGGAUUCAUUUCCUUAGUAACGUAGCUAACGCGUGAAGUUGACCGCCUGGGGAGUACGGUCGCAAGAUUAAAACUCAAAGGAAUUGACGGGGACCCGCACAAGCGGUGGAUGAUGUGGAUUAAUUCGAUGCAACGCGAAAAACCUUACCU